GCUGGGUUGAUUAGUGGCGAACGGGUGAGUAACACGUGAGUAACCUGCCCCUGACUCUGGGAUAAGCGUUGGAAACGACGUCUAAUACUGGAUAUGAUCGCCGGCCGCAUGGUCUGGUGGUGGAAAGAUUUUUUGGUUGGGGAUGGACUCGCGGCCUAUCAGCUUGUUGGUGAGGUAAUGGCUCACCAAGGCGACGACGGGUAGCCGGCCUGAGAGGGUGACCGGCCACACUGGGACUGAGACACGGCCCAGACUCCUACGGGAGGCAGCAGUGGGGAAUAUUGCACAAUGGGCGAAAGCCUGAUGCAGCAACGCCGCGUGAGGGAUGACGGCCUUCGGGUUGUAAACCUCUUUUAGUAGGGAAGAAGCGAAAGUGACGGUACCUGCAGAAAAAGCACCGGCUAACUACGUGCC
rnacentral:rRNA from 1 species